UCUAAUGCGAGGCAUCUUACUUUCCCGCCUUUUGAAGUCGGAAAACUCAUUUGAAUUACAAAUAAAUUUCCAAAUUAAUAUUCAUAUUUGUGCUCAGUAUUGCACGUGGAAAAAGCUUUCAAACUACAAGAAAUUUGAGCGUCUUUUUAGCUUCUAUAGAGUCAAGAAACUCGUCAUUUGGACCCUAUACCUUAGAUAUUGUCCUUUCUGUCCAGGUCGGCAAGUUUUUUUUUUUUUUUAAGCUGGAUGAAGUGGUUCAAAUACCAUGACGAGGAUUCAUUCCUCUCACUUUAUCACGACUCCUCUUCAGGGCAGCAACAAGAUGAAAAUGAGAAGACUUCGAAAUCAAGAAAGUCAAGGAAGCAAAGAAAUACAUGGGAAGACUGACUGGUAAAUAUCCCUGGUACUUCAAGCACGAAUCAAAAAAGACAGACUAUGAUCCAAGUGACAGACGAGAUUUAUUCAGGAUCAGGUGCAAAACAGUUGUAGCGCAUUUCUUACAACAACUUCGAAUCAGAACUAAGAUUCAAACGCUAAAAUGGAAAACUGGAAAGUUGUUAUUCGUGAUUCUCUCUCAGUUCAAUUCAUGUUAAGGGCUGUUUGAGGCGGAAGAUUUUCCCGCCAAAAAACUUAGAAAAAAUACGGGCGCCCAAAAU